rnacentral:lncRNA from 1 species
CUUUCAGAUUUUUUCAAACAUUUUUCUUCCCUUCUUCUCCAGUCAGCCUUCUUGUUCCAGAAGCAUUUCUGGCUGCCUCACUACUUUGAAGGUCUUUUCAGAUCAUCGACGGCUCUCUUUUGAUCCAUCAUCUUCACCUCUUGUUGUCAUAGGUUCGUUUUCUUCUUCCUUAACCUCUUUUUCACCUUUUUAGUGCAACUGUCCCUUCUAUGUCUAUUUUUCUUUCUGUUCUCUUUCUUAUAUCUUUCAAUGGUGGGUUUUGAGAGUUUUGGUGAGAGCUAGUCUUUC